ensembl:snRNA U6 U6 spliceosomal RNA
GUCUUCUUAUUGGAAGCACCUAUACAAAAAUAGGAAUAAUACAGAGAAAUUAACAUGGCCCUGCAUAAGGGUGGCAUGCAAAUUUGUGAAGCAGUCCAUAUUUUC